CUCCAUUUUUCUAGGAUCACCUGAUGGGAUGAAGUUGCCAAUAAUAGUGCUGUCAUUCUACAGAGGAAUAAAGAAGAGACCAAUACACACAUGAUCGAAUGCAUAAAUCAAGUUAUGUUUGAAAGUUUUUACAUGGCAGUUAGACUAAAGGAGAAAUGAAAUGAAUCUGCAUUCCUAUAUUUUUGUUUAAACAGUGAAAGAGGGUGAUCACAGAUUAUCAAUGUUCAUUUUUUGGGAUCUGUAAAGACAAAACAUAAAAACAUAAGCCACAAUUAAAAGUACAGAAGCUCUUCCCUGUCCAAUUGCUUUAAAAUAGCCAAAUUCUGGAUAGGACAUUUGAAACUGAUCACUGGAGUUAAGUAGAUGUACAUUUGAAAACUGUUCUCUUUCAUGUAUGACUUUGUAAUUUUUAGAAAGUCACAUAAAUCCUCAUAGCCUGUUUCCUCAUCUUUAAAAUCAAGUCAAUGACAUCUGCUUCACAGGACUAGGAUGCAUAUUAAAUUAGAUUCAGUAAAAGAAGUAUUUAAUGCAAGAAGAAUAUCUUAAAUAUUGUUAGUCAACAAUUAGCAUAUAUCAUCAUAAUUUUUAUGUUAUAUAGUAAAGAUAAUUCUUCAUAUUCAUUGUUAAUUCAUAUUCAUAAUUAAGAGACCCUAUAUUCAGAAACAAGAGUGAUUAUGGUAUUGUUCUAUUUCUUCAUUUUCUUUCUGAUGGAUUGUGACAUCAUGAUGUGGGUUUGUCAAUCAAUGUUUAUAGCAAGAGAACUCUUAAAGGUUGUGAUUUUGCUCAACAUUCUAUUCUAAAGAAUAACUGUAAUAUUUUUCCUUUUCUUAAAGCCUUUUUAGACUUGAUAAUUGUUUAUGAAAAAUGCACACUUUGUGGGAUGUAAUAAACUUUGAGACAAAUCUAGUUUGCUAAGGCUCUAAUUAAAAGUAAGCCUUUUAGGAAAAUAAAACAUACUUUUGUACUGGAAACAGGUCAAAACACAUACACAUUUGAUGAACCUUUGACUGUCUCUUUUUUUGUAGGAAUUGGCCAGUCCUGGAUUUGUAGAUAUGACCUAAUAUUCAGAGAGACCAACUUUAGUCUAGCUUCUAAUUCACCUGGAAGAUUAUGAACUAUUCGUUUUUCCUUCUCUUUGUGUCCAACCGUCCCCUAUCCCAAACCCUGGUUAUUUAAAAACAUCUCAAACUUGCUCAUGUAGUUAGCAAAUAUUUUGAAAAAAUAUAUAUAUAUUUUUUACCUUGAUUAGCUUUUGUCUUCUUGAGAUAUAUUUGUGAUCUCAGACAGUUGUAGAAUUUUCUAUUGCUUUUGUUGCAGAUUGUCAGGGGUAGUGUCAGCAGCAGCAGCCGGGGUAGUGUCAGCAGCAGCAGCCGGGGUAGUGUCAGCAGCAGCAGCUGGGGUAGUGUCAGCAGCAGCAGCAGGGGUAGUGUCAGCAGCAGCAGCUGGGGUAGUGUCAGCAGCAGCAGCUGGGGUAGUGUCAUCCACAGCAGCCGGAGUAGUGUCAGUAACAGGUGUAGUGUCAGGUAUAGCUGCAGUGGUAGCAGCUGCAGCUGCAGAAGUAGCUAAUGGAGUAGUUUUUACAUCUUCAGGAGCUGCUGUAGUUGGGCAUGGUGGGUGGUGUGGAGGAUGGGGAUGGUGAGGGCCAUUUGGGCGUGGAGGGCGGUGGGGUCUAUGGAAACCAAAAAAAUCAAAGAAAUGGGGGGGAAUUCCAGAAGUUAGAAAAUUUGGUCUAAAUUUUGGUGAUGCUUUAUGGUUUUGUUGAAGGAAUACAUGUCUUCGAUUCCCAAGACUUCUUUGUGUAAGUGGUUUAAAAUUCUCUUCAGAACUGAAAUCGAACUUCAGAGACAGAAUGCAAAAAAAAAAAAAAUUAUUUUUAUACAAGUAGAAUGCAUAAACUGAAAUUAGACUUUAAAUGUGCACAUACACAAUCAUUUAAAUUUACGUGAUUAUUCUAACUUUAUUCCAUAAGUAAUUAGAUAAUGUGCCCAUCUUACACAGGUUUUCAAUUAUGAUCUUUGGUGAAAUAUACGGGAAGUAGACUGUAUUUCUGUUGUUCUCAAAGUCUAGUAGUAUUAUUAAAGCUUUUCCCAAAAUGUGUUCCAUAAUAAAUGCUCUUUUGAAAUGAUUUUAGUGAUCAAGUAACUCUGGAUAGGUUUUGAGUAAGUAAAACACAUUUUUUUUUUUUACAUCAGGACUUAAUUACUGGUGUAAUACGUCAAUAAAUAAUUAGCAUAUCCAAGGGACAUGCACUAUUUCCCAAAUUUACUUCACCAUGGAAAUUUCACAUGUGUGUCUUGUGCAAAUCUUACUGUAUCAAUUUCAUGGACACUUUUUGAUUUAAUUGGCUUCAGUCAUACAGACUUUUAACAUGAUAUUGCCUUCGAUUUUGAAUUAGGCCCUGAUCCCUCAUUCUUAUCUUCUCGGGUAUAGGCUAAUCCUUGGGAUUCUAAAUGUGACACUCCACUUCUUCCCGAAACGUUAAUUCUUGUUUACCUUUGUGUCACAGAACUCCCUGAUGCCAUAUCUUUCAGAUUGGCCUUAGGGUAUUGGAGGAAGAAACUUCUAAUCCUCAGAUCUGGUAUUCUCAUGACUUUAGGCACUAAUCAGUGUCCUGUCUAUCUACUAAAUAGAAAAGCUCAUACUUUGGUAAAUCAUUUAGUUUCUAAACUUUGACUCUCUGGCUCUCCUUAAUAUUUUUUUUUAAGUUGAGAAUAAUAGAAUAUAUUUAUUCCUUUUGUCUCUCUGAUAUGACUGGCUUUUGAUUAUAACUGAAAACAUGAAGAGUAAACCAGAAAUACAAUAAAACUUACUUUUCUUCUCCUCUGAUUAAGGGCAUCAGCAGUCUAAAAUAGAUGGGGAACACAAAUAUAAAAUUAGAUUCAGGGCAUGUAUGGUAUUUUGAGAAGUCUACUCAUUGUAAAUUAUUUGUGAGGAUGCAAUGUAGUUAGGCUAGGAUGAGUAGAACAGAAUACAAAUUAAAAAUUUCAUCAUCAUAUAUGGGGAAAUUUUCAACAGUUUAAAGAGUAGAUAGCCAUGAAAUAAGGAGAUCUAUUUUUCUGGAGUUCUUUAAAAAAAAGUUCCUUCUUCCACAUUCAUGUUAGCAACUGGUCUCAAGUUUCUCAGUAGCUAAAUUUGGGCUUCUUUUUCUUGUCACUCAGGUGCCAAAUGUGGAGACCAUCAAGGAAUUAACAUCUUUUAUGGACUUUAUGUAAGGAAAAGCUUAUAUUUUAUGGAAGAGGAAAAUGGCUGGUCCAGAGAAGCUCUUAAAUAAAAAUUUUUCAUAGGAUGGGCACCCCUUUGUGACUCUAAGGAAAGACCACUUGACCAAUAGUCUCAAAAGACAGAACCAAAUGAAAUACAAGCAAACAAGUUUGAGACGUAAACCUUAACAGUCCUGGGAGGACAUCAGUGUUUGAUGCUUGAAUGAGGGGAAGGAAGCACAGCUGUGUUAACUGCUUUCACAAAUUUAAUCUUAGACCUCCAAACCUGGCAGAAAAGAGACUGCAGCGGCACAGUCUGAGCCCCGCGGGGGAACUGGGCAGCACAGUAGCUGCGGGAAGGACUUCCACCCAGGACGCAGCGGCCAAGCCCCUGCAGCCUGGAAGCCUGCCACCUGUUUUCCGCAAGGCCACCCGCUGACUAUGGAAGAGCCACAUUCCCUGGCGCAAUUUUAAUGUAGAAAGACACAUUUAGAAAUAAAGUGGUGUCAGUGCUCAGGCUUGGAAGUCGAACAUCUGAUGAAAUCUCUCAACAUAAAAGAGGUUCUUAUAUUUUGAGGCCUCUGUGUAUGGUCAGGGUCUGAGGCAGCUGACCCCAUUACUGAGCCAGAAAGUCAUCAUGGCCAAGAACUCAGCAGGUCAGGACUAUGUUCUGGAGCCAAAACACAGUAAAUUUAAAAAUAUCCUGAUGAUGAAUAGUUUCAUUUAGCUACAUUCUUCAAACUGAAGAAGGACCCAUGAGUUUCUGAGGACUUGAGAGAGGCCAGCAAUAGCCAAAUUGAGUCACAACCCCAUAUUUCUGCUACAAGGAUAACGCAACUCAAACAGAUAACUCAAAACAAAACUGAAGCAAAAUGAAACAAAAGCGGAACAAAAAAUCAUUGUAUCAAUUUUCUCUUCCUCAGGGCCGAACAACUUCAAACCUUGAGCCAACCAUUUUUCCCAGUUUGCCUGAGAAAGUUCUAGGGAUAGGCAGCUUGAAACAAAAACAAAAUAAAUCAAAACAAGAACACAUUGUUUUUUGAAAUGGUCACCUAUUCUCUCGAUCUCCCUCAGGGGCAAGCAAUUUCACUUAUCCCCAAGAUUCCGGUGUUCCCCAUAUGGGCCACCAAAUGCCGCAGUCUGGCUGGGCACAAAAUCAGGAGCCACUUAAGCAGGAACAAACUUUAUUUCCAAAACUCCCGUGAAUGCCACCUAUGCGGCCUUCUCCCAGGACACACCACACCAACAGGAAAUCCCUCCUCCGGAAAUCCCUCCUACUGCACUUCCCCAACCAAUGGGAACUCUCCGGGAAUCCCCGGGAGAGCUCCAAAGUAGCAGGCCUAGGCGGACAGCAGGGGUCUAAUAUCCAAUUGAAUGCACAUCUUAACAUAAUCAUUAUCAUCUCAAUGGCUUGCUGGCGUCAUCUUUCAACCAAAAAUGCCAGGCAUCAUUCCUACUCAGCUAUGGCUCUUAGCACUGCUUGUGGAUCCCUUAAGUGUGGCAAGCAGAGCAUUUAAUGGAAGGCACAGUCUGUUUGGAGUAGCUGUCCUGGCUUGACGAUAUGUCAAUUACAACCUUCUCUGAAAAUCUCCUCUUUUAUCCCCUGGCCUGAAAUGCUUUUGUGGUAUUUAUCAUCUAUCUAUAUAUCUAUCUAUUUAUUUAGUGAAUUUCAGACCUGUUUUGCAUGUUUGCUUUUGGGCCUGUGAUUAGUUUGCCCUCAAUCCUGUUUCUAUACUUACAAUGUCCAGAAAAACAAAACAAAACCGUAGUCAACUUUAUUUCAACUAAAAUCUUACAGUUCUAGUAAGUCAACUUUUUUAGAUUGGUGUCACGAGAGAGGGAAUGCACAAUGUUUGGCUAAUUUCUGGUAUUCUUCUCCUUCUCAGACCCAUCUAGUCAUGGGACUUUCUUGUGAAUUUUCAGUGGAACCCAGUGGGACCUGGAGGCUCCAGCCAUGCUGGCUUUCUUUCUGAGUGUGGAACGUGAUGAAUUUCUUGCUGCCUCAAGGACUUUCCACUUACUGUUCCUGUGCCUGACAUGACUUUGUCAUGGGGAUCACAGUUCAUAUUCCCAGACUGCCCAACCUAGAGCGACACCUCUGUCAUGUUAUCUUAUCCUAAUUCUCUGCAAAUCUUUGCAGCAGACACUGUUAUGUGCCCACCAGAGGCCCAUUGAAGACUCAAGGACUAUGCCCAAGCUUUGGGGAGUGUUGCUGUCAGGCAGCCUUUUCAGGAAUUGCCUCCCCUGCCUCCUCCAAGAGUAUUCUCCCUUCUUCAGCCAAAUGUUAAAUGCCAGAAGAAAAUUCAGUGCCAACCCAGAAGCUUACAGAGUGACCCUCCAGUCAUGUGAAAACAUUAAGAGGUGUAUUCAGCUUCAGCAGAAUUUCCACUAAAAAGGAAAAGGAUUACUAAAUCACUUACAGCAACAAAGGACAAAUUCACCCAAGACAUAUACCAGGGAUUAAUGUUUUGUUUAGUGCCAGGAAAAUAAGUGUGACAGCAGAAAUCAAUGAAGACAUUCAUACACAGGAACAGGGGCACCUUGUUUGUCAACCAGAGAAAUGCCAAAGGAAAUAAAGAUAGGAAGAAAAGCCAGGAGAACUGGAACUACCCCAGAUCAACCCAAAGGCUUCCUCAAAGUAUCUCAUAGACAAUGUCAUUAUUGGUACACUCGGGCUUAAAAAGACAGAUCAGAGGCCAGCCACCUGUGUUCAUACCCAAAGGCAAAACUGAACAGUCCUUUCGCUCAUUGUUCAGGUGGCUUGGCAAUUUCAAGCAUCGGAUUUUUUUUUUCCAUCCAUCUGUUCUGUUUAUCAUCUUCUCAGUGUUGCCAGAAUUUCCCCUAGAAAAGUGAGAUUUCAUUUUUAUCAGAGCUUUUGAUAUCUGUAUUUUUUUUAUAUUCAAGUUUUUGGUCUGAUCAAGUGCUUUCUUUACUUGAAAAGGAAUAUGUAAGCAUUUACUUAACAUGAAGAAAUGCUAGGGGUUUAGAAUCUUAGGAGGUUAGGGUUGGAAGUACAGGCUGUACCAGGAGGGACAAAAAGGAGCCUUGCAAAAUAUCCCUCAUAUUGUUAAGGUAACUUUGAAAGACCAGGAUUAGACGGGACUAAAAUAGAAGAGAGUGAACAUGUUUUGGAGUAGAAGAAACAGGCUUGUUAGCCUGGGAACACUAACAACACCCUUUGACCUUUCAUAAUUAUUUUUGGAGCUGAUAAAUUAUUGAAGAUUGCCUUUUGUGUAUUAUCAUCUUCCUGACCUAUUAAAUUGUUGGAGUUAAAGAACAACUUUCCUGAGAUAAGGGAGUUUUAUUCCAAAUUAGGAAACUAAAGGUCAAGAAUUUUGAUUAUUGUGUCUAGAUUUGAAGUGUAUGAAGGAUUUAUGGGAAAUCUCAGGGAUAUAAUUAAGACAAUUACAUGUCUGGAAAAUUGAUUUCUGUGUAUAGGUUAAAGAAUUAACUAUGUAAUGUUUUGAACAACCAACAAUAAAAAAAAAAGAAUUAAGA